GAGCUGCCCGGUUCGGGACGAGCUGAUCGCGAAAUAAGGACUGGCCCUGCGGAGAGCAGAGCACGGAGAGCUGGUGUGUCUAGCCCUGGCCCCGUACCCUGCCUGGAAGCAGCGCCCGCUCGGCAUCUUCCUCCCUCCAGCCCCAGUCCGGUUAAUCCCGUGUCAUCUUCCUCGAAGAGCUGCCUUCUAACUUCGGCGCCGACGCCAGGUCUGCCUGCACGUCGUGGGCAGGAUGGGGGUUGCGGCAUCCCCUCUCUGCCCCGGGGGCAGCCAGCCCCCUCCUCCUCUUCCUCCCACCGCCGAGCCCCGCGCUGGAAUUCCUUUGGCACAGCCUCUUCAUCAUGUCCUGCCAGGGGCGGAGAACCCUCAACCGAGUGCCUAGGCGGACCUGCCUCAGCUCCGCGGACAGAUCCCGGCUCCGGGAGGAGCAACCCCAGCACCACGGACAGAUCCCGGCUCCGGGAGGAACAAGCCCAGCACCACGGACAGAUCCCGGCUCCGGGAGGAACAAGCCCAGCACCNCCCAGCACCACGGACAGAUCCCGGCUCCGGGAGGAACAAGCCCAGCACCACGGACAGAUCCCGGCUCCGGGAGGAACAAGCCCAGCACCUCGGACAGAUCCCGGGUGCCUCCGGGCUCCCGGCGGGAGGGAGUUGGGGAGCUCGGCUCUCGCUCCGGGCCCGCUCCGUGCCUUGGUGCCCCGGGUUCCUGCGUACUGCAGCUGCGGUAGCGGCACUCAGCUCUGCCGAGAAAUCUCCCUGCACGCACUGCCACCCACCUUGCUCACGGUGCCAGAAGAGGGCUGGUAUUUGGGCUCAGAAUCUGUCUUCUGUGGAUCGGGAUUUAUGAGCUUGGACGGUGCCUGGUUACAUUGGUGUAUGAGUCUACAGACCCCGAGGUGCACUACAGAGUUACAAAGAAACCUUGGAUGUGUCAAGGCGUGGAGGGCUAAAAUAAGCCCUAUACAACUAGCAAAUCCAACCCAGGCCUUUCUGCCUCCCUGCAACCAACUUUACACACACACACACACAACUGUGAGAUUUCCCUCCUUUCCUCCGCUCUCCAUGCUCCUUCCUUCAGUGACGGUAGGAUGA
rnacentral:lncRNA from 1 species